GAUUUGGCCACCGGAGAGGAUUGGUUCGAUUGGUUCAAAGGAGUAGGACACGGAGCGUGGGCUCCGAACAUUCAGCAAAACAGGGACAUUCUGAAUUUACUAGAUUGCGACAAGUCUACAUAGGGAAUAGGCCGAGUUUGCAAUGAGCAGCUUGCAGAGCUACUAUGGCCUGAGUUCUCAAAGAGGAGAUGGCAUGGAUUUAUGUACAUUAAUGUCCUUGUACAACGGACGCCGAGACGAGCAUGUGACACCAUUGCCACCC